AGUCGAACGAGAGAGGAAGAGCUUGCUUUUCCGAUCGAGUGGCGAACGGGUGAGUAACGCGUGAGGAACCUGCCUCAAAGAGGGGGACAACAGUUGGAAACGACUGCUAAUACCGCAUAAGCCCACGGCUCGGCAUCGAGCAGAGGGAAAAGGAGCAAUCCGCUUUGAGAUGGCCUCGCGUCCGAUUAGCUAGUUGGUGAGGUAAUGGCCCACCAAGGCGACGAUCGGUAGCCGGACUGAGAGGUUGAACGGCCACAUUGGGACUGAGACACGGCCCAGACUCCUACGGGAGGCAGCAGUGGGGAAUAUUGCACAAUGGGGGAAACCCUGAUGCAGCGACGCCGCGUGGAGGAAGAAGGUCUUCGGAUUGUAAACUCCUGUUGUUGAGGAAGAUAAUGACGGUACUCAACAAGGAAGUGACGGCUAACUACGUGCCAGCAGCCGCGGUAAAACGUAGGUCACAAGCGUUGUCCGGAAUUACUGGGUGUAAAGGGAGCGCAGGCGGGCGAUCAAGUUGGAAGUGAAAUCCAUGGGCUUAACCCAUGAACUGCUUUCAAAACUGAUUGUCUUGAGUAGUGCAGAGGUAGGCGGAAUUCCCGGUGUAGCGGUGGAAUGCGUAGAUAUCGGGAGGAACACCAGUGGCGAAGGCGGCCUACUGGG
rnacentral:rRNA from 1 species